rnacentral:lncRNA from 1 species
UACAGAAUUUACAUAACGCAGUACCUUCUAGCACAACACACAUGUAAAAUUAGACAUAACUAGCGAUUUAAACCGCAGUCUUCGUAUAGGAAGGGAAAGUUACCAAAUGGAUUAACAGUGAUUGUUCAUAAAAUUGGCAAUGUAGGCGAGUUACCUUCUUAACGGAGGCGGACCAGGAGAAAGUUAGACCAAGGAAGACAAUGAAGAAGAAAGGUCCCCAGAGAUCCCAAACCGGAAGCGCUUUCCCUGGAUCUUCUCUAUACGGAUUAGGGAAAACCACAAGCAUCAAAUUGCUAACAAUUCUGGACAGAUCUCUUUUGAACGUGUCCCAGACGGACUCCGUAAGCGUAUUGGGUGGAGAUCUGAAUCCCGUAGCAACUAUAUUCAAUUGUCCUUAUGAUGAAGGAAGCGAAGGCCUUAUGAUGAAGGCAGCGAAGGCCUUAUGAUGAAGGCAGCGAAGGCGGGGUGGGAAUGGAAGGAACAGGUAUUGCUUUCUGAUUGGCGCUAUUGAGACAUGUAUCUUACCUCUAGAGCUUAAAAUGUCAAUCAAGGUCUUUAACGCCAAAUUUUUUUUAAUAACAGUGGUGUCCAAGCCAACUUGUGCAUACCUCGACUAUUCAACCGAUUACCAGCUAUCUCCUACCAAGUUGGUAAUGGAUUUAGGCUUCUUGGAGGAGAAACAGUGUAGGGAUGUUAUGUUAAUCGCUAUAUUUGUGGUUAGCAGUUUGAUGUUUGAUAAUAAAACAUAUGUCAAAGAUUCAUUUCAGGUUGUCAAUGGGAAGCGUACUUGUGCAGACAACUCGUGCGCAAAAAAUGACUCUGCCUAUGAAUUUCUUCAGCUUAUUAAACAGGAGUAACCCUUCAGGCUGAUAACACAAUAGCCCGUUAUGCCUCAAAUAUCUGUUGUUUUUGGCUGAGAUCCUCUUAUUUGGCUUCUCAGCGACAUGGCUAAUAAUUCAUUCUCUCACAAAUUACUAUAGAAGAUUACACUGGACGAGAAAAGGCAUGAGAAAUUUCUCCUUUUCCUUGGAAAAAUUUCUGCACCUGCUUUGAAAGAAAUGCCAAAACCCUUAUGAUUGGUAGCAUGAAAAGUUUUGUGACUGAUGGUUUUGAUCUAUGUAAGUGUUGAUCGAGCCGUUUGCGGAUAGAUUACUUUGUAUUUUAUUCCUCUGGCACGCGCAAUCUUCAAAGCUUUCAUUUUUUUAUUCCCCCGUACAGAAGUCUAUUGAUAUAAUUUGAGCGUACAGGACGCCCUUGAUCUAAAACACGUCUAAUAUGUUUAGGACUGAAGUAGUACGAAUUAAAAUGAACCUAUCUUUAUUUUCAAAUUUUAGGGAGCAUAUUAGAACGUUUACACAAUUCAGUACCUUCUAGCACAACACACAUGUAAAAUUGGACAUAACUAGGGAUUUAAACCGGAGCCUUCGUAUAGGAAGGGAAAAUUACCAAAUGGAUUAACAGUGAUUGUUCAUAAAAAUGGCAAUGUAGAUGAGUUACCUUUUUAACAGAAGCAGACCAGGACAAAGUGAGACCAAGGAAGACAAUGAAGAAGAAAGGACCCCACAGAUCCCAAUCUCGAAGCGCUUUCCCCGGAUCUUCUCUAUACGGAUUAGGGAAAACGACCAACUUCAAAUUGCUAACAAUUCUGGAGAGAUCUCUUUUGACCGUGUCCCAAACGGGCUCGGUAAGCGUAUUGGGCGGAGAUCCGAAUCCCGUAGAGGCUAUAUUGGACUGUCCUGCUGAUGAAGGCAGCGGAGGCGGAGCGGGAACGGAAGGGACACGUGUCGGCUUCUGAUUGUCGGUUUUGGUAGUAGGGGGAGGUGGAGGGCGGAGAUUGGAAGGCAUGAAAGGAGAAGAAGAAACAGGGAUGGCAGCACGAGGAGGAGAAGGAGGGCGAGCUGGAAGGACAGUAGAAGGAUGGGAAUAGAUGAGGUUUUCGAUUUCAUCAAUGUCCGAUUGGGAUGUGGAGUUAAGAGGUAUUGUGUCUCCUUGUGACAUUUUUCUUUCCACUGUCAGAUUUGCAGAUUCUAAGAGGGGAAUGGGGAAAAGGAUGAUCGGAGAUGGGGGAAGGCGGGGUUGGGUGUUGGAGUCUGGCUG